UCUUCCAUAGCACAGUUGGUAGAGCAUGAGACUCAGAAACUCAGGGUUGUGUGUUUGAGCCCCAUGUUGGGCAAAA
rnacentral:tRNA from 1 species